rnacentral:rRNA from 1 species
AUUGAACGCUGGCGGCAUGCUUUACACAUGCAAGUCGAACGGCAGCGCGGGCUUCGGCCUGGCGGCGAGUGGCGAACGGGUGAGUAAUGCAUCGGAACGUGCCCAGUAGUGGGGGAUAGCCCGGCGAAAGCCGGAUUAAUACCGCAUACGACCUGAGGGUGAAAGCGGGGGACCGAAAGGCCUCGCGCUAUUGGAGCGGCCGAUGUCGGAUUAGCUAGUUGGUGGGGUAAAGGCUUACCAAGGCGGCGAUCCGUAGCUGGUCUGAGAGGACGACCGGCCACACUAGGACUGGGCAACGGCCCAGGCGCCUACGGGAGGGAGCAGUGGGGAAUUUUAGGCAAUGGGGGCAACCCUGAUCCAGCCAUGCCGCGUGCGGGAAGAAGGCCUUCGGGUUGUAAACCGCUUUUGUUCGGGAAGAAAUCCUCUGGGCUAAUACCCCGGGGGGAUGACGGUACCGGAAGAAUAAGCACCGGCUAACUACGUG